GGGACAUGGGAGGAGCUUCGCUGCUGCGUCUAGCGGCCGCCAUGGUCCUCACCGGCUUGGUUUCUCCGCCUGUUGCAGUGGCGGCACGCGCGACGCCGCCACUGCCGGUGCUGCCGAUCCCGACGGCGGCGCAGCUCGCGUGGCAGCGGCGGGAGGUGAUCAUGUUCUUCCACUUCGGGAUGAACACGUUCACGAACUCCGAGCUGGGCACAGGGGAGGAGGACCCGGCCCUGUUCGGCCCCGCCGCGCUCAACGCCAGCCAGUGGAUGGACGCGGCGGCCGCGGCAGGCGCGUCGCUCGCCAUCCUGGUAGCCAAGCACCACGACGGCUUCUGCCUCUGGCCGUCCGCCUACACGGCCCACUCCGUGCGCGCCAGCGGCUGGCGCAGCGGCGCCGGCGACGUGGUGCGCGAGUUCGCCGCCGCGGCGCGCGCACGGGGCGUCGACGCCGGCCUCUACCUCUCGCCGUGGGACCUCCAUGAUCAGCGAUACGGCCGCGAGGUCGCCUACAAUGAGUACUACUUGGCGCAGCUCCACGAGCUCCUCACCGGGUACGGGAGCUUGUCGGAGAUCUGGUUCGACGGCCACAAGGACAAGAACGCGACGAACAUGACGUACCACUUUCAUGAGUGGUUUCAGAUCGUGAGGCAGUUGCAGAGCUCUAGCAUCAUCUUCUCCGACGCCGGCCCCGACGUCCGGUGGGUCGGCAACGAGGACGGGUUCGUCGGAACCACGUGCUGGUCGACCGUCAACCGCUCCAUGAUAACGAUCGGGGCGACCGGCAUCGAGAACUAUCUGAACAACGGCGACCCGUGGGGGACGGAGUGGGUGCCGCCGGAGUGCGACGUGACGAUCCGUCCUGGCUGGUUCUGGCACAAGAACGAGACGGCCAAGACGCUGAGCCAGCUGCUCGAUAUAUACUACACCUCGGUGGGCCGGAACUGCGUGCUGCUGUUGAACGCGCCGCCCAACACCACGGGCCUGGUGGAGGACGCCGACAUCGCCAGGCUCCGCGAGUUCCGUGCCGCCGUGACGCGCAUCUUCGGCACGGACCUCGCCGAUGGCAGCACGGCGAGGGCCAGCAGCGAGCGCGGCAGCGGAUUCGCGGCGGGCAAUGUGCUGGACGGCCGGGACGACACGUACUGGGCGCCGACGGCGGAGGACGAGUACUGGGUCGAGCUGCGGCGGCCGGCGAGAGCGCGAGCGCGCGCGUUCAACGUGGUGAGGAUACAGGAGCACGUGGCGCUGGGGCAGCGGGUGGAGCGGCACGAGGUGUACGUGGACGGCCUGGCCGUGGCCCGCGGCACGACGGUGGGGAGCAAGCGGCUGCACCGGCUGGUCGGACCCGUCGUUGGCCGGACGGUCAAGAUAUGGUUCGCCGCGCGCCGUGGGCCUCCGCUAGUGUCGGCGGUGGGCCUGCAUCUCGACCCUUUCGAAGCCAAUCGUGCGCGCUGAUCGAGUGGCUGGAGCUGACUCGCUGCGCUGGCCGCUGGAGUUGAAUCACAACCACCAUGCAGAGCGAUGUGCUACUGCUACGUACUAGUGUACUACUAGCAUCGUCCCCAGCGCCGAUUACAGGUGACCGGAGACCAAAGUUACUUUGCACUCUUGAAAAUGCCUUUUCAAUGGUCCGACGUUAGUCAUCGCUGGACACCGCAGACGAGGUGAUGGACCAGGCAUGAUAUUUGUCUUUUAUUACUUUGUACCAACAAAAAUGAAAGCCAAACUCAUCUGAGCUAGAAAUUUGUUUCAGUUUAUGGAAGAUAGUCGUGUGUUUAUUGGAUGUUUGGUGGAUUUUGAAUUUUCAGAUGUUC
rnacentral:rRNA from 1 species